rnacentral:rRNA from 1 species
UGAGGAAUCUUGGGCAAUGGGCGAAAGCCUGACCCAGCGACGCCGCGUGGAGGAAGAAGGCCUUCGGGUCGUAAACUCCUGUUCGGGGAGAAGAACAGGAGAGGAGUGAAUAACUUCUCUCCCUGACGGUAUCCCCGGAGAAAGCUCCGGCUAAUUACGUGCCAGCAGCCGCGGUAAUACGUAAGGAGCGAGCGUUGUCCGGAUUUACUGGGCGUAAAGAGCUCGUAGGUGGUUUCUUAGGUCUCACGUGAAAUUCCCUGGCUCAACUGGGGAGGGUCGUGGGAAACCGAGAAGCUAGAGGGCAGGAGAGGAGAGUGGAAUUCCCGGUGUAGCGGUGAAAUGCGUAGAGAUCGGGAGGAACACCAGUGGUGAAGACGGCUCUCUGGACUGUCCCUGACACUGAGGAGCGAAAGCCAGGGGAGCAAACCG